UACAUGGGGUGCAAACGUUGCUCGGAAUUACUGGGCGUAAAGCGUGCGCAGGCGGUUCGCUAAGACAGAUGUGAAAUCCCCGGGCUUAACCUGGGAACUGCAUUUGUGACUGGCGGGCUAGAGUAUGGCAGAGGGGGGUAGAAUUCCACGUGUAGCAGUGAAAUGCGUAGAGAUGUGGAGGAAUACCGAUGGCGAAGGCAGCCCCCUGGGCCAAUACUGACGCUCAUGCACGAAAGCGUGGGGAGCAAACAGG
rnacentral:rRNA from 1 species